CGAGUGUGGCCGUCGAGGCGCACGGCGGCACGUUCAUCGUGCGCGGCGGCCAGAGCGAAACGCUCGAAGGCGCGUUCAAUUCGCGCACGGUCGUC
rnacentral:tRNA from 1 species